rnacentral:misc_RNA from 1 species
UGAAAGUCCCAUUGGUGCUGUCUAGAUCUAUGACCAAGAGCCUGUCUUCUUGGUUUUUGAUGCGAGCAUGUAGAGCAGAAACUGUAGCAACCGGAAUUACAAUGUCGGCUUUAUCAGGAAGGCGGCCAACAGUGACCUCAUUCGACACAAUUUCGAAAGCAUCUGGCAUUUCUACUUUCGAACCUAUAUGCUUCCACUCUCCAUCGCCG